rnacentral:rRNA from 1 species
AUUGAACGCUGGCGGCACGCCUAACACAUGCAAGUCGAGCGGCAGCGAGACUAGUAGCAAUACUAGUUGUCGGCGAGCGGCGGACGGGUGAGUAACACGUAGGAAUCUGCCCUUAAGCGGGGGAUAACCAAGGGAAACUUUGGCUAAUACCGCAUAAUCUCGAGAGAGCAAAGCUGCCCGCAAGGGUGGCACUUGAGGAGGAGCCUGCGUCCGAUUAGCUAGUUGGUGGGGUAAUGGCCUAACAAGGCGAUGAUCGGUAACUGGUCUGAGAGGAGGACCAGUCACACUGGGACUGAGACCCGGCCCAGAUUGCUACGGGAGGCAGCAGUGGGGAAUAUUGGACAAUGGGGGCAAGCCUGAUCCAGCAAUGCCGGGUGUGUGAAGAAGGCCUUCGGGUUGUAAAGCACUUUAGCCUGGAAAGAAAAAACUUUGGUUAACACCCAAAGUCUUGACGGUACCAGGAGAAUAAGCACCGGCUAACUCUGUGCCAGCAGCCGCCGUAACAC